rnacentral:rRNA from 1 species
GACGAACGCUGGCGGCGUGCCUAAUACAUGCAAGUAGAACGCUGAAGAGAGGAGCUUGCUCUUCUUGGAAGAGUUGCGAACGGGUGAGUAACGCGUAGGUAACCUGCCUUGUAGCGGGGGAUAACUAUUGGAAACGAUAGCUAAUACCGCAUAACAAUGGGUGACCCAUGUCAUUCAUUUGAAAGGGGCAACUGCUCCACUACAAGAUGGACCUGCGUUGUAUUAGCUAGUAGGUGAGGUAACGGCUCACCUAGGCGACGAUACAUAGCCGACCUGAGAGGGUGAUCGGCCACACUGGGACUGAGACACGGCCCAGACUCCUACGGGAGGCAGCAGUAGGGAAUCUUCGGCAAUGGGGGCAACCCUGACCGAGCAACGCCGCGUGAGUGAAGAAGGUUUUCGGAUCGUAAAGCUCUGUUGUAAGUCAAGAACGAGUGUGAGAGUGGAAAGUUCACACUGUGACGGUAGCUUACCAGAAAGGGACGGCUAACUACGUGCCAGCAGCCGCGGUAAUACGUAGGUCCCGAGCGUUGUCCGGAUUUAUUGGGCGUAAAGCGAGCGCAGGCGGUUUGAUAAGUCUGAAGUUAAAGGCUGUGGCUCAACCAUAGUUCGCUUUGGAAACUGUUUAACUUGAGUGCAGAAGGGGAGAGUGGAAUUCCAUGUGUAGCGGUGAAAUGCGUAGAUAUAUGGAGGAACACCGGUGGCGAAAGCGGCUCUCUGGUCUGUAACUGACGCUGAGGCUCGAAAGCGUGGGGAGCAAACAGG